UACGUAGGGUGCAAGCGUUAAUCGGAAUUAUUGGGCGUAAAGGGUGCGCAGGCGGUUGUAUAAGUCAGAUGUGAAAUCCCCGGGCUUAACCUGGGAAUUGCGUUUGAAACUAUAUGACUAGAGUGUGAUAGAGGGGAGUGGAAUUCCAUGUGUAGCAGUGAAAUGCGUAGAGAUGUGGAAGAACACCGAUGGCGAAGGCAGCUCCCUGGAUUAACACUGACGCUCAUGCACGAAAGCGUGGGGAGCAAACAGG
rnacentral:rRNA from 1 species